UACAGAGGGGGCAAGCGUUGUUCGGAAUUACUGGGCGUAGAGGGCGCGUAGGCGGCCCGCUAAGUCGAACGUGAAAUCCCCGAGCUCAACUCGGGAACUGCGUCCGAUACUGGCGGGCUUGAAUCCGGGAGAGGGAUGCGGAAUUCCAGGUGUAGCGGUGAAAUGCGUAGAUAUCUGGAGGAACACCGGUGGCGAAGGCGGCAUCCUGGACCGGCAUUGACGCUGAGGCGCGAAAGCUAGGGGAGCAAACGGG
rnacentral:rRNA from 1 species